CACGUAGGGACCAAGCGUUGUUCGGAUUUACUGGGCGUAAAGGGCGCGUAGGCGGCAUGACAAGUCACUUGUGAAAUCUCUGGGCUUAACUCAGAACGGCCAAGUGAUACUGUCGCGCUAGAGUGCAGAAAGGGCAAUCGGAAUUCUUGGUGUAGCGGUGAAAUGCGUAGAUAUCAAGAGGAACACCUGAGGCGAAGGCGGGUUGCUAGGCUGACACUGACGCUGAUGCGCGAAAGCCAGGGGAGCAAACGGG
rnacentral:rRNA from 1 species